rnacentral:rRNA from 1 species
UACAGAGGUCUCAAGCGUUGUUCGGAUUCAUUGGGCGUAAAGGGUGCGUAGGUGGCUUGGUAAGUCGGAUGUGAAAUCCCGGGGCUCAACCCCGGAACUGCAUUCGAUACUGCCAGGCUGGAGUACUGGAGAGGAGAUUGGAAUUUACGGUGUAGCAGUGAAAUGCGUAGAUAUCGUAAGGAACACCAGUGGCGAAGGCGACUGACUGGACAUGUAUUGACGCUGAGGUGCGAAAGCGUGGGGAGCAAACAGG